UACAGAGGGUGCGAGCGUUGUUCGGAAUUACUGGGCGUAAAGCGCGCGUAGGCGGCUACUCAAGUCAGAGGUGAAAGCCCAGGGCUCAACCCUGGAACUGCCUUUGAAACUAGGUAGCUAGAAUCUUGGAGAGGUCAGUGGAAUUCCGAGUGUAGAGGUGAAAUUCGUAGAUAUUAGGAAGAACACCAGUGGCGAAGGCGGCUCACUGGUCCGGUACUGACGCUGAGGUGCGAAAGCGUGGGGAGCAAACAGG
rnacentral:rRNA from 1 species